GACGUAGGAUGCGAGCGUUGUCCGGGAUUUAUUGGGCGUAAAGAGUUCGUAGGUGGCUUGUCAAGUUUGAUGUUAAAGAUCGGGGCUCAACCCUGGGACUGCAUUGAAUACUGGCAGGCUUGAGUGUGGUAGAGGCUAGUGGAAUUCCCAGUGUAGCGGUGAAAUGCGUAGAUAUUGGGAAGAACACCGGUGGCGUAGGCGACUAGCUGGGCCAUAACUGACACUGAGGAACGAAAGCCAGGGUAGCGAAUGGGAUUAGAAACCCUGGUAGU
rnacentral:rRNA from 1 species